UGGGGAAUAUUGGACAAUGGGCGAAAGCCUGAUCCAGCCAUGCCGCGUGUGUGAAGAAGGUCUUCGGAUUGUAAAGCACUUUAAGUUGGGAGGAAGGGUUGUAGAUUAAUACUCUGCAAUUUUGACGUUACCGACAGAAUAAGCACCGGCUAACUCUGUGCCAGCAGCCGCGGUAAUACAGAGGGUGCAAGCGUUAAUCGGAAUUACUGGGCGUAAAGCGCGCGUAGGUGGUUAGUUAAGUUGGAUGUGAAAUCCCCGGGCUCAACCUGGGAACUGCAUUCAAAACUGACUGACUAGAGUAUGGUAGAGGGUGGUGGAAUUUCCUGUGUAGCGGUGAAAUGCGUAGAUAUAGGAAGGAACACCAGUGGCGAAGGCGACCACCUGGACUGAUACUGACACUGAGGUGCGAAAGCGUGGGGAGCAAACAGGAUUAGAUACCCCCCGUAGUCCCUGAGCGGGCUGGCAAGGCGCAU
rnacentral:rRNA from 1 species